AUUGAACGCUGGCGGCAGGCUUAACACAUGCAAGUCGAGCGGGGUGAUGGUGCUUGCACUAUCACUUAGCGGCGGACGGGUGAGUAAUGCUUAGGAAUCUGCCUAUUGGUGGGGGACAACAUCUCGAAAGGGAUGCUAAUACCGCAUACGUCAUACGGGAGAAAGCAGGGGAUCACUUGUGACCUUGCGCUAGUAGAUGAGCAUAAGUCGGAUUAGCUAGUUGGUGGGGUAAAGGCCUACCAAGGCGACGAUCUGUAGCGGGUCUGAGAGGAGGAUCCGCCACACUGGGACUGAGAAACGGCCCAGACUCCUACGGGAGGCAGCAGUGGGGAAUAUUGGACAAUGGGGGGAACCCUGAUCCAGCCAUGCCGCGUGUGUGAAGAAGGCCUUAUGGUUGUAAAGCACUUUAAGCGAGGAGGAGGCUCUUUUGGUUAAUACCCAAGAUGAGUGGACGUUACUCGCAGAAUAAGCACCGGCUAACUCUGUGCCAGCCGCCGCCGUAA
rnacentral:rRNA from 1 species